ensembl:lncRNA
ACAUGAUGUCCCAGAUGUGCUCAACUGGAUGCAGGUCUGGGGAACGAGUGGGCCAGUCCAUAACAUCAAUACCAUCAUCUUGCAGGAACUGCUGACACGCUCCAGCCACAUGAGGUCUAACAUUAGUUGUGUCCCAAGUCAGGGGCCUCAUUCUCCAGAGGCAUUUGAAGGCCGAUCACGUCACAGCCAGGGGAUGAAGGCUGCUCCAAAUGCGGCCCUCAUUUCCCCUAAUUCGAAGCAUGGGUCAGGUGUGUACUUUGUGGCCCAACCUAUCCCAGAAUUCAUAGCGCUGCCUAGCCAGUUCAGUUUCUAACGAUUGCAUCAGCUACAGAGACGGUAGAAAUUGUUAAUGUUAAGAUAUUAAAGUUAAUGGAAGUUUCAUUUUAAAUGUUAAGGUGAUUUAUUUUACAUUCAUUAAACUUACGUGACUGUUUUUAACAUAAGGUUUGGUUUUUAUAUUACUCUUAUUAUUCUUUCUGGGUCACAAAAUAAACGUAACAUAUUUUCUGGCGAGAAUGUAGCUGUGUAAACCUUAAAUAUCUGCUCGGUUUAUCAAGACACCAAAUAUUUUCAAAAGCGCUCCGACGUUUUCUGAGACGUCUGUUACCCACCAGCUCAAUAGCUGACUGGGAGCUCGAGGCUCAGUAAAGCCGGCGAGAGCAGGCAUGAACAGGCAGCGAACUCACGGCACAUCGUUCUUUUAACCCCCUGUGGUCUUUGACUACUCAGGUUAAACAUGAUACAUGAGUCACUUAGAUAACUUAAACAUGUCAUUGUUUGGCUUUUUUCAUUAUUUUAUUUGUUCCUGAGUAAAUCGGUUUGUUAUAGUAACUUAUAGUUUUCACACAGCUGAAUAAACGUCAAACAGACAGCUGAUCAUCAGAAGUGUGAGAUGAUUGAGACUCUACGCCAGUGUCCUGUUAUAUUUUAGAUAGCAAGGAGCAGACGGCGAGUUUAUUAAACUCCAGCGAGACAACGGACACCUUUUCACCACUGUGGGCUGCAGGUACAGCAAUAGUAUGCAGUUUUUACUCUGUUACGUGGCAAUUCUUGUGAAGAUGGGCCUGGCGGGAAAAAUCACCCCUUUGCAGGCCAAAAAAACAAAACAAAGAUUGCAAGUAUCCAGGGUCGGGCGAGGCAGUGAGUGGGAAGCCCACAGCUGCUAAAUGGUGCUGGUUUGUCCUUAUGGAUGAGGUGUUAGGACAGAGCCUUCUACCAGGGCUCCAGUCCUAAUUGUCUCCAUCCAGGAGGACACUCCAGGCCCAGUUCAGCAGUGGGCCAGCUGGAGCCAAGAGUGGACAAAAGAAAGACAGGAAGGAUGAAUUUCUUGGAAUUAAUAAGAGAGGGCAUGAGACUACAAAUGGAAACGGAGCAAAGAAGAGCCGGAGAAUGGACAGGCUUCUUCACAGUCAUGUCUCCCGGGGCCAGCUGGCUGAUACUUUGCCACUUUGCUCUCUGACACUGUUAGUAAUCUAGGUGUUCUGUGAUAUAGCUCUUUCAAACUUGAUAGACAACUAUCCUCUGCAGUCAAAUCUAGCUUUUACCCACUGCUUCUUAUUUCUAAGGCUAAGCAUUAUGUAACACACAAGGAUCUUGAAGCUGAUUCAUGCCUUUGUGACCUUCUGAUUGGAUUACUAUAAUUCCCUCUACUUCUGUCUCCAGUCUGCUCCAUAGAUUGCAGCUUGUCCAAAAUGCUGCGGCACACCUUUUGACUGCAACCGGCAGGUUUGCCUCUUUCACUCCUGUCCUUGCUGAUUUGCACUUCCUCCCUAUCAAAUACCAAGUUUAAUGAAAGUAUUGCUGCUCACCUUUAAAAUCAUAAACCAUACAGUGUCUAGCUAUCUCGUUGAGCUCCUUAGACCAUACACCCCUGGGAGAGCCCUCACAUCAUCAGCCCAAUUACUCUUGGUACAGCCUAGAUCUCGGCCUAAGACCAGAGGUGAGCGUACAUUUGCCCUGGUUGCACCUAAUUUGUGGAACAACCUGCCCAUUCCUAUCCCUAUUCUAUGUCACCGUCUGGUAUGGUAACUGCACCGUAUUGGAUUGCAAUACCCCACAACGGAUAGUGAGAGGAGCUGUGAAGAUCACUGGAGCCUCUCUUCCCUCCAUCACGGACACUUAUAGCAACUGCUCCACCCGCAAAGCCACCAGCAUCAUGGAGGACCCCACACACCCCUCACACACACCCUUCAUCCUACUGCUUUCUGGAAAGAGGUACUGGAGCAUCUGGGCCCUCACGACCAGACUACCGUUCAGUUUCUGAGAUCGAUCGUAGCUCAAGAGUUGGGAGUUCGCUUUGUAAUCGGAAGGUUGCCGGUUCGAGCCCCGGCUGUAUCACUAAUUACAGGAAUGUAAAGAGCAUUUUAGGGACUUGCUUCGUCCUGAAGACACAGGUUGUUCCUGAUAACUGAAUGAAAUCUCACCUGUGAUGGAGCUUUGUGUGUGUUUGCUGAGUGUGUGUGAGAGCUGCUGCUUGCAAUAAACUGAAAGUGUUUGAGGAACAAAGAGAAAAAGAGAAAAUCAGCUGAUGAUCCAGUAAAGACUCUCUGAGCAAAGUGACUGAAUUAAGCAGAUUUUAUUGAGCAUUGACAGAAAAGUGCAUCGAGCAGGAGACGAUUCAUGUGGAAGACCCGAAUACAGAGAAUCUGAACAGAUCAAGUCCAACAUGAAAGGAUCCAAAUGUUUCCACUUGGCCUGAGCCAUCACAAAUAUCCAGCAUGAACACAUGAAGAAUCAAUCGAGGCAUCGAUCAGCUGGAAGAAGAUCAGAUUUCAGGACUGGGCUCAGAAACACUGAAGAGUCAAAGUUGGAUUAUUUCCACACUGUGUCUGAGUUCAGUGUCUCCAACAUCCUCUGCACUCACUGAGAGACAACAACAUGUUGGACUGUGUCUGGAUCGUGUCAGUGACACGUUACUGUCCCACAACCAGUUUACUGAGUCAGCAUGAGAGGAGCAGCAGGAUGAAGCUCACACUGACAACCUUAGAACAACAUUAGAACAACGUGACAGACACACAUGGAUUUGUGGAGAACACAGAGUUUAGUUUGUGACGUCAGAGGAGCAGGGAGCUGUUCUCACACACUGUUGUACUGAUCGUUAAACAGCAGGGGGCGCCCUCACUGCAUUUACAGCACAGCUGGCAGCUCUGCUCUGCAUAAUAACCGACUGUGGAGUUUAUGUAGUAACACUUUUCAUGUGC